rnacentral:rRNA from 1 species
UACGUAGGGUGCAAGCGUUGUCCGGAAUUAUUGGGCGUAAAGAGCUCGUAGGCGGUCUGUUGCGUCUGCUGUGAAAACUCGGGGCUUAACCCCGAGCCUGCAGUGGAUACGGGCAGACUAGAGGUAGGUAGGGGAGAGUGGAAUUCCUGGUGUAGCGGUGAAAUGCGCAGAUAUCAGGAGGAACACCCGUGGCGAAAGCGGCUCUCUGGGACGGUACUGACGCUGAGACGCGAAAGCGUGGGGAGCAAACAGG